rnacentral:rRNA from 1 species
UGUGAACUCGAAGAGUAGGGCGGGACACGUGGUAUCCUGUCUGAAUAUGGGGGGACCAUCCUCCAAGGCUAAAUACUCCUGACUGACCGAUAGUGAACCAGUACCGUGAGGGAAAGGCGAAAAGAACCCCGGCGAGGGGAGUGAAAAAGAACCUGAAACCGUGUACGUACAAGCAGUGGGAGCACCUUCGGGUGUGACUGCGUACCUUUUGUAUAAUGGGUCAGCGACUUAUAUUCUGUAGCAAGGUUAACCGUAUAGGGGAGCCGCAGGGAAACCGAGUCUUAACUGGGCGUUAAGUUGCAGGGUAUAGACCCGAAACCCGGUGAUCUAGCCAUGGGCAGGUUGAAGGUUGGGUAACACUAACUGGAGGACCGAACCGACUAAUGUUGAAAAAUUAGCGGAUGACUUGUGGCUGGGGGUGAAAGGCCAAUCAAACCGGGAGAUAGCUGGUUCUCCCCGAAAGCUAUUUAGGUAGCGCCUCGUGAAUUCAUCUUCGGGGGUAGAGCACUGUUUCGGCUAGGGGGUCAUCCCGACUUACCAACCCGAUGCAAACUACGAAUACCGAAGAAUGUUAUCACGGGAGACACACGGCGGGUGCUAACGUCCGUCGUGAAGAGGGAAACAACCCAGACCGCCAGCUAAGGUCCCAAAGUCAUGGUUAAGUGGGAAACGAUGUGGGAAGGCACAGACAGCCAGGAUGUUGGCUUAGAAGCAGCCAUCAUUUAAAGAAAGCGUAAUAGCUCACUGGUCGAGUCGGCCUGCGCGGAAGAUGUAACGGGGCUAAACCAUGCACCGAAGCUGCGGCAGCGACACUAUGUGUUGUUGGGUAGGGGAGCGUUCUGUAAGCCUGCGAAGGUGACCUGUGAGGGUUGCUGGAGGUAUCAGAAGUGCGAAUGCUGACAUAAGUAACGAUAAAGCGGGUGAAAAGCCCGCUCGCCGGAAGACCAAGGGUUCCUGUCCAACGUUAAUCGGGGCAGGGUGAGUCGACCCCUAAGGCGAGGCCGAAAGGCGUAGUCGAUGGGAAACAGGUUAAUAUUCCUGUACUUGGUGUUACUGCGAAGGGGGGACGGAGAAGGCUAUGUUAGCCGGGCGACGGUUGUCCCGGUUUAAGCAUGUAGGCUGAUUGUCCAGGCAAAUCCGGAUAAUCAAGGCUGAGGUGUGAUGACGAGGCACUACGGUGCUGAAGUAACAAAUGCCCUGCUUCCAGGAAAAGCCUCUAAGCAUCAGGUAACAUCAAAUCGUACCCCAAACCGACACAGGUGGUCAGGUAGAGAAUACCAAGGCGCUUGAGAGAACUCGGGUGAAGGAACUAGGCAAAAUGGUGCCGUAACUUCGGGAGAAGGCACGCUGGUGUGUAGGUGAAGUCCCUGCGGAUGGAGCUGAGACCAGUCGAAGAUACCAGCUGGCUGCAACUGUUUAUUAAAAACAC